AGCCUCCCAGCCAACAUCUUACUCCCGUGCUUGAUGUUUCCUGACCUCGAACAUCGAACUCCAGGUUCUUAGGCUUUGGGACUCCGACUGGCUUCCUUGUUCCUCAGCUUGCAGAUGGACUAUUGAGGGACCUUGUGAUCAUGGAAAAAAACAAACCAACCAACAAACUGAGCCUGAAACUGAUAACACAGAUACGUACAGCAUCAUAUUUAAGUAACCAAUCGGAAUUAUUGCAGUGGAGAUGUUUUAUUGCCACCAAAGAUUUGCUGUCAUCCACACAGAAGAAUAAAAAGAUGAAAUAUCAGGAAAUUGGAAUGUUGCUGAAACACUUUGCUAAGUACAUUCUGGCAAUGGAAAACAUAGCACAACUCUCAAGUCAAUCAUCAACGUGAUUGACAUACAAAGCAGGAAGAUUUCUACCCUCAUGCCCCCUCUUUACCUUAUUUCUCUCUCUCUACUACCCAUACCAUAAGCAGAGCAAUCCCUAGUCAAAACUGUAAAAUAAAUCAACUUGGGGGGUGACUAAUGCUGUUUUAAUUUGUAAUUUGGCCUCUACAUCCAUCAGGAUAGAUGAGCAACUCCCACAGACUUAGAAGUUUGAAACAACAAAAGCUUGUUUAUCUCAUGCUAAACAUCUUGAGUCAGCAGGAGAGUCUGACUUGGAGACCUAAAGUGAUGGGAUCCUCACUAUCUGGAACAUUGGUAAAAGGAACAGAGUAUGCUAAAUUGUGGGUUAAUACUUCAAGGCUCACAUUUCGUUGGCCAAAUCAUAUCACAUAAUUGCGUCUCACUUAAAGAGGAGUAAGGUUGAGUAAUCCUGCCAUGUGCCUACCCCAUAGGGAGAGAAUCAGAAAACAGGUGAAAUAGCAAUAAUGACCAUCUCAGGCCUCCUUUAUUUUUCAGAAAUGUUCUGCUUUAUUGUCAUAACUCUGGUCAUUUAAAUCGCUCAUAUGUGAUCUUUUUUUUCUACAACCAAAAUCCCUAUAAUGAUAGAAAAAAAUGCAACUGAUUGUAUAAUUUCAAAGAGGAAGAGCUUUGCUUGUUCCUAGCACAGAUAUGUUUUAGUCAUCUUUGUAUCCUCAAUACCAAGGACAAUAUCUAAAAUGAAAGUUGGAGGCACUCCAUAAUACUUGUUAAAAAAUGAAUAGUUUUUUUAAAGUAGUGAAUUAACACGACCUCUGAACUUUCAUACAAAAACAAUAAUGAAAUAAUUACUUUCAAUUCAAAUAGAAAGUGAAAAGUACACAGAGUAAAAAUAAUAUGUCAGUGUUGGAAAUGGGUUUAUGACAUCGGUAAGAAUCCACACCAAGGCAAUGAUCACUCAGCAAGGCUAAUUUACUUUCUGCAGAAAGGGUACAACUCACCAACAGUCUCACCACGAGAGCACGCCAAACAAAGGAGACAGGGACAUUUAUAACUUACAUAACCUGAUGCAAUCGCCCUAUGGCAGUGUCCUAUUUCCAUUGGUCAGAAUGGGACCUCACAUUCUAAGCUUGACCCAAUUGGUUAACAGCUUGGAAAUUUCCCAAAUAGGCAAAAGAGAAAGAGGACAAAGCAAAGAGGAAGCUAGUCAUGAGAUGGCCAGAAGGGUUUCCAAAUAAGGAAUGGCAUGCACUGUGGUCAGGGGCUUUAGUCCUGUCCAGGUGUGCCGGGGGAAGUUAGAGCAGCUGCAUUAGAACAUAUAGAUAUAGAUAUACAUAGAGCAAGGAAAUGACAAGCUCUUUAUGGUUUCAAGAAACUUUGAAGAAGAACUUCUCUAUUCCUCACAGUCAGAUAACUUUCUAUUGUUAUUGAUUUUAUCCUAAUUGUAUUGAAAUUUUGAUGUUCCCAUAAUCCUGCUUCCAGCCUUUUUCUCUUAGUAUACAUGCUAACCCCUGGUAAUAAGGUAGAAUCAUGAGAGCAGAAACAACAUUUACAUUUUGUUUUUCUACUAUAAUGAAGCCAAAAUCUUAAUCAGGACUCAUCACACAGUAGAUAAUACAUUGAAUGAAUCUCCACCAUUAAGGCUGAAGAUAUUCUCCAUAAGAUUAUAAUCCCCAAUUCUUACAUCCAGUCCAAAUCUCUCUCUUAAUCUUCAACUGUGUGUGUGUGUGAGUGUGUAUAUAUACAUAUAUGUAUUCUUUAUAUGCUAUGGGUAUCUCAAACUACACAAGUCCAAACUGGAUGCAUUAACUCUACUUCCUUCCAAACCUGAUCUUCUAGCCCACUAUUCUAUGAAAAAUACUAUCAGUUACCUAAAUCAGAAAUCUGAGUAUUAUUUUUGACUAUUUCCUCACUCUUACAAUCCAUAGCCAGCCAAUCAGUAAGUAUGGUCAAAUCUACCUCUUCCCUGUCUUUUAAAUAUUACUUUAUUUUCUCCAAAUUCCUUGACAAUGACCUGCAUUAAGCCACUAUUACUUCUUAUGGAAUUAAUGGAACAUUCUUUUGACUUUCCUCUAGCCCGUUUGUAAUUUUUCCUCCAAGCGAUACAUGAAAAUCUAAUUCUACCAUUUUCCUGUUUAAAGUCAUACAAUAGGAUAUUUUUGUCUCCAGUAAAAAAUAUCUAACACAAAUAUAUUUUUGUUUAAUAUUUUUAAAUAAUAAUUAUUUUUUCUCCGUUUUCCUUUUUAGCCUUAUCUCUAAACAUCAGCAGAUAUGACACCAGAUUAAAACAUUAGUAUUUAACAAUGGGGAUUAUAUAAAUCUUUGAUAGUUUGAGUGAUAUUAAAAAAAGAACUUUUAGCAAACACACACACACGCACACACACACACACACACACAUACAUAUAUAUAUUUCUAAAAUCACUUUACUUCUCCCUAAAGAAAAAAAAUGCUAGGAUAGGUGGAUAUCUGAAAAUCCACAGAAAAAAAAACAAAAACAAAACAAAACUGAUGGAUUCCAUCUCCUUAGCUGAGUGUGCCACUGAUGUUCUUAGAUGUUAGAUAUGGAGCUUGGAUAUUUGUCCAUUUCUAAAAUACUAUGAAUUUUAUAGAACAGUCUUUGAGACACAGGGAAUAUAUUAUUAUUAUUUCCACAUUGCAAAUUGGGAAAAUGAAUUUUCAGUGAAUUAAUUGAUUUGCCAAAGGUCGGUCAAUUAUUUUCUGACAGAGCAAAGAUGAGUCUUCAGUUUUCUCACCCUUUCUUCUACUCCAGUGUUUAUCUGGGAUAUAUGAAAGUGGGGAUAGGGACUACCAAUCUCUGCAUCCUAGAAGAUUAAAUCUAGAUCUAAAGGAAAAGGAGAAUUAAGUAGACUAAAAUGAAAAUCAUGGUGAUAAUUUGACUUUAAAGGAUGCCUUGCUUUUUCUGUGCCAUAUCAUUUCCACUAAUAAACUAUCAUUUCAGUGUUUAUAGUAACCUAGAAUAUUAGCAAUACACUUGCAAAACAAAUGGUGAAUAGUUAAGUAAGUAAGAUUGUAAGAUAAAAUAAAGAUGAUUAUAAUACUGUCAUUUACUACAUGUGCCUAUGUACAUUAACUCACUUAAUUCAUUUUAAUAAUAAUUUUACUUACCUAUUGCCUACAUAUUUCCUUCUGACAGCACAAGUCUCCAAAUUAUGAGUGAGUUAGCACAAUCUUAGAUAAUUUAGAGAAGACUGCAUUGCUGUCACAGUGAAUACUAAGUAACUUCUGUAUUCUGCUACUGAGUUUUGAUAAUAUUUGUAAAGUCUGUUACUUAUAAAAUCUGUAGCUGUGUUGCAUUAUACUAAAUUAUUUAUUUUUUAAUCAGGAAAUAUUCUUUGGGAUUAUUUGUUUUUCCUUGAAAUUUUAUACUUUUUUAUGAUCCUCACCAAAACUAAUCUCUAGCUAAUCACUUUCUCACUCCUUUCAAAAGCAAAUUUUGAAUGUUUUGUUUAGCAAGUAGAUUUCACUAGAGUUUAGAACAAAACACAGUAAUUAAAUGUUUUUUUGUUUUUUUGUUUUAACUUUGGAAUGUGCAUCUAACAACAUGCUCUACAGUUCAGUCCUAAAUCAAUCACUGGAGUUUCUAAUUUCUCCUCCUACUUUUUAAUAUCCUAGUGGCUCUAGAACAUCUCAAGCAUGAACUGUGUGCUAAGAGGCAAAAGAUCUAAUAAAUAUAUUACUGUAGCAUAUUUAAGAGUUUUAGCUGUAGUUUUUUUUUAAUUAUAUUUCCCUCUAAAUAAAAGUAGCACUAUAACAGGGGAGUUUUAAGUGAUCUUCAGGCAUUUUCCCCCAUUUUUUCUUUGUGAGACUACCACAAACAUUUGGUUGCCAAUUUAAGUGAGUACCAUAAUUUGACAAUAUAUUUUAAACUGACAAUGGAAUUCACAAAUCACCACUUGCUUACUUACAUGGCUGAAAUCACUUUAUUUCUCUGCAUUCAAAUAUUUUCUCUGGAAAAUGCAAGAAAUAAUAUUGACCUUACUCAAUGCUAACUAAUAAAAGUGAUCACCAAGCUCUUAAUAGAUGCAAAGUACUAUGCAAAUGUAAGUGCUCAAUGAGGCAAUGAGUCUCGUGGAAUAUUUUUCUGCUCUGUUAAAAUGCUUGAAUGUUCCAUCUUCAUAAAAUCAGUUCACAAUACUACUAAAGAUGUUUCAUUAAUAAAAUCAUUGAAAAGUGCAUCGAUUUUUUCAAUUAAAAGGUGGGAUACUUCUUUAAUGUAAAGUUAGAGUAUUUGAGGAGCAUUUGUACCAAAAGUCUGCUUAAAAAUGCAUGUCAAUGAGUGAUCAGUAAAACAUUCAGCAGGUUGUUUGAGCCAAAGGCCAAAUUACUUUUUAAAAAUAGUGCUUUGUUUCUAUAAUGUGAAGCUGGUAUUUCUAAUUACCAAAUCACCUACUGUUAUUAGUAGAAAAUAUUUGGGAUACGUACACAUCACCUAAUGCUCCCUGGAAAAUCUAUUUACAUGGUUAGGGCUAGUAAAAACAAGGGAUUCUGAAUGAUCUGAUCAUGCAAUCAGAUUUAAUUGCUCUCUGUUGGUGCAAAC
rnacentral:lncRNA from 1 species